rnacentral:rRNA from 1 species
CUACGGGGCGCAGCAGUGAGGAAUAUUGCACAAUGGGCGAAAGCCUGAUGCAGCAACGCCGCGUGGAUGAUGAAGGCCUUCGGGUUGUAAAAUCCUUUUCUGGAGGAAGAGUAAGGACGGUACUUCAGGAAUAAGCGUCGGCUAACUACGUGCCAGCAGCCGCGGUAAAACGUAGGACGCGAGCGUUAUCCGGAUUUACUGGGCGUAAAGCGCGUGCAGGCGGUUUAGAAAGUUGGACGUGAAAGCUCCUGGCUCAACUGGGAGAGGUCGUUCAAAACUACUAAACUUGAGGACGGUAGAGGGGAGUGGAAUUCCGGGUGUAGUGGUGAAAUGCGUAGAUAUCCGGAGGAACACCAGUGGCGAAGGCGGCUCCCUGGGCCGUUCCUGACGCUAAGACGCGAAAGCUAGGGUAGCGAACGGGAUUAGAUACCCCUGUAGUC